rnacentral:rRNA from 1 species
AUUGAACGCUGGCGGCAGGCCUAACACAUGCAAGUCGAACGAGUGGCGGACGGGUGAGUAAUGUCUGGGAAACUGCCCGAUGGCGGGGGAUAACUACUGGAAACGGUAGCUAAUACCGCAUACCAUCGGAUGUGCCCAGAUGGGUUUAGCUAGUGGGUGGGGUAACGGCUCACCUAGGCGCCGAUCCCUAGCUGGUCUGAGAGGAUGACCACCAACCCUGGAACGGGGAACCGGACCAGACUCUAACGGGAGGAAGCAGAGGGGAAUAGUGCACAAGGGGGGAAAGCCGAAUGCAGCAAUGCCGCGGGUAUGAAGAAGGCCUUCGGGUUGUAAAGUACUUUCAGCGAGGAGGCGUUACUCGCAGAAGAAGCACCGGCUAACUCCGUGCCAGCAGCCGCGGUAAUAC